rnacentral:rRNA from 1 species
AACGUAGGAGGCAAGCGUUAUCCGGAGUUACUGGGCGUAAAGCGCAUGUAGGCGGUUGGGUAAGUGGCGUGUGAAAGCUCCCGGCUAAACUGGGAGAGGACAGGUCAGACUGCCGAACUCGAGUCCGAUAGAGGGGCGUAGAAUUCCGGGUGUAGCGGUGAAAUGUGUAGAGAUCCGGAGGAAUACCAGUGGCGCAAGCGGCGCCCUGGGUCGGUACUGACGCUGAGGUGCGAAAGCGUGGGGAGCAAACAGG